CGUCCGAGUUGUAAUCUACAGAAGCGUUUUCCGCGCCGGUCCGCGUCCAAGUCCCUUGGAACAGGGUAUCAAAGAGGGUGACAAUCCCGUACUUGACGCGACCGCCGGUGCUAUGUGAUGCGUCUUCGACGAGUCGAGUUGUUUGGGAAUGCAGCUCAAAACGGGUGGUAAAUUCCAUCUAAGGCUAAAUAUUGGCGAGAGACCGAUAGCGAACAAGUACCGUGAGGGAAAGAUGAAAAGCACUUUGGAAAGAGAGUUAAACAGUACGUGAAAUUGUUGAAAGGGAAACGAUUGAAGUCAGUCGUGUCCGGGGGGUUCAGCCGGUCCUGCCGGUGUAUUCCUCUCGGACGGGUCAACAUCGGUUCUGACCGGCGGAAAAGGGCGCGGGGAAUGUGGCACCUCCGGGUGUGUUAUAGCCUCGUGUCGCAUACGUCGGUCGGGGCCGAGGAACGCA
rnacentral:rRNA from 1 species